rnacentral:rRNA from 1 species
GAUGAACGCUGGCGGCGUGCCUAAUACAUGCAAGUCGAGCGAACAGACGAGGAGCUUGCUCCUCUGACGUUAGCGGCGGACGGGUGAGUAACACGUGGAUAACCUACCUAUAAGACUGGGAUAACUUCGGGAAACCGGAGCUAAUACCGGAUAAUAUAUUGAACCGCAUGGUUCAAUAGUGAAAGACGGUUUUGCUGUCACUUAUAGAUGGAUCCGCGCCGCAUUAGCUAGUUGGUAAGGUAACGGCUUACCAAGGCAACGAUGCGUAGCCGACCUGAGAGGGUGUCCGGCCACACGGGAACGGAGACACGGUCCAGACUCCUACGGGAGGCAGCAGUAGGGAAUCUUCCGCAAUGGGCGAAAGCCUGACGGAGCAACGCCGCGUGAGUGAUGAAGGUCUUCGGAUCGUAAAACUCUGUUAUUAGGGAAGAACAAAUGUGUAAGUAACUAUGCACGUCUUGACGGUACCUAAUCAGAAAGCCACGGCUAACUACGUG